rnacentral:rRNA from 1 species
GAUGAACGCUGACAGAAUGCUUAACACAUGCAAGUCGAUUCGAUUUACCUUCGGGUAUUGAGGAUGGCGGACGGGUGAGUAACGCGUAAGGAACUUGCCUCUUGGUCUGGGACAACUGUUGGAAACGACAGCUAAUACCGGAUAUUAUGAGAUUCUCGCAUGGGAAACUUAUGAAAGCUAUAUGCGCCAAGAGAGAGCCUUGCGUUCCAUUAGCUAGUUGGUGGGGUAACGGCCCACCAAGGCGACGAUGGAUAGCCGGCCUGAGAGGGUGAACGGCCACAAGGGGACUGAGACACGGCCCUUACUCCUACGGGAGGCAGCAGUGGGGAAUAUUGGACAAUGGGCCACAAGCCUGAUCCAGCAAUUCUGUGUGCACGAUGAAGGUCUUCGGAUUGUAAAGUGCUUUCAGUUGGGAAGAAGAAAGUGACGGUACCAACAGAAGAAGCGACGGCUAAAUACGUGCCAGCAGCCGCGGUAAUACGUAUGUCGCAAGCGUUAUCCGGAUUUAUUGNGCGUAAAGCGCGUCUAGGCGGAAAAAUAAGUCUGAUGUUAAAAUGCGGGGCUCAACUCCGUAUUGCGUUGGAAACUGUUUUUCUAGAGUACUGGAGAGGUGGGCGGAACUACAAGUGUAGAGGUGAAAUUCGUAGAUAUUUGUAGGAAUGCCNAUGGAGAAGUCAGCUCACUGGACAGAUACUGACGCUAAA